rnacentral:lncRNA from 1 species
AAUCAAACCCGCAGUGGCUCCCAGUUCUCGUCCCAUCAGAUUUAAAUUGCUAACAGUAUGGGGGGCACCACGCAUCUGUUUUGUCCCACAAUGCGCUUUUCUCUCCCAAAUCCCGAUUUCUGCUGUCAUAGCCUCUAUUCAAUUUUUAUUUAUUGUCUGCCCUCCACUUAUACAAUCGUAGAGAGCAAUGCCAUUUGUCACUUUCUGCAACAGUUUUUUGAGCCUUUAUGGCUGAAUCCCAUUUUUCUUCUCUUUCAAACUGUUUGCUCCAUUGCUCCUCCCGCACGGCUGUCCGUACAGUCAUCCCAUCCAUCUGGGGGCCUCUUUCAUCUCUCACCCUUCCUGGUGCUUCGUGGAUCUCUGCUUACCUCUGUGGGUUUUUUUUUUUUUUUUUGACUUAUUCUUCUCACUGGACUUUAAGAUUACUUCCACAGCGAAAGUGCUGCCUCCCUUUUCUGCCCGCAGUGUUCUGCGUACUUUAGAUACUACUCAGUGCUGACAUUUGAUGGCAAAAGUUGCCUGCACUUAAAUUUCUCUUUUUAAUAGGGUGAACUAGAGUUGGAGUUUUUUUCUCUUUUUUCUCUUUUCUCUCUCUCUCUCUCUCUCUCUCUCUCUCUCUCUCUCUCUCUCCCUCCCUCCCUCCCUCCCUCCCUCCCUCCCUCUCUCUCUCUUUUUCUUUCUUUCUUUCUUUCUUUCUUUCUUUCUUUCUUUCUUUCUUUCUUUCUUUUUUUGACAAAUCUCACAGGCUUUGAGAAUUAUAAAAGGUGACAGUUCACCUGAAAAUCACAGGUCUGGUCUGUUUAAAUUGUUGAGAAAUAUCCGAUUAAAAGUCUUGUGGCUGUGUCCUAAUAGGCUCUCUUUCAGGACGUUGUAGUCAAUAGAGUGGCUGAACCAUACUUGAGUUUAUAAAGCUCAAAAACUGAUGCACCCACUCUGCUAUUAUCGUGUUAGUAAGAGUUCAGCUGUAUAUCAUUGUCUAGGUUUAUCUUGUCCUACAGUGGGUAUUCAAAUAUGGCCACCAGAGGAUAUGUGUAAAUAUAAGCACCUGUAUUUGCCUGUUGUUGAGAACUGGAGGGAAAACAAAAAAUGUCUGGCAACCCUUUGCCUUUUUAACCGUAAUUAAUUGACAGUUUAUUUAGAGAUAAGAGUUUUCAAAAAUCUCUUAACUGCCACAACCCACAGAGGGUCUUGUUUUGCCAUCUUCAGUGGCUCACAGAUAUGAUCCAAGUUAACUUGAAAGAGAUGAGCAGUACCCAGGAAAUUGUCCUGCCUUUAACUCUGGCUGUCCUUAAUUAUGACUGUUUAAUGCUGAAUUUUCCAUCCGUCUAGUGUUUGAGGGUAAAGAAAAGCCUUUUUUAAAUAAGUAUUUCUGUAAAACGGCAUCGGUGGGAUCUUCUGUGUUGCUAUCACGGGUGAAAGAGGGAAACAUUUCUUAUUUUUAUUAAGCAGAGCAUUAUUUACAGAAAGCCAUUGUUGAGAAUUAGUUCCCACAUCAUAUAAAUAUCCAUUAACCAUUCUAAAUUGUAAGAGAACUCCAGUGUUGCUAUGCACAAGGAACUCUCCUGGGGGCCUUUUUUUGCAUAGCAAUUAAAGGUAUGCUAUUUGUCAGUAGCCAUUUUUUGCAGUGAUUUAAAGACCAAAGUUGUUUUACAGCUGUGUUACCCUUAAAGGUUUUUUUUUUAUGUAUUAAAUCAAUUUAUCACUGUUUGAAGCUUUGAAUACCUGCAAUCUUUGCCAAGAUACUUUUUUAUUUAAAAAAAUAACUGUGUAAAUAUUACCCUGUAAUAUUAUAUAUACUUAAUAAAACAUUUUAAGC